rnacentral:rRNA from 1 species
GGAAGGGRUGUAUUUAUUAGAUUAAAAACCAAUGCCCUUCGGGGCUCACUGGUGAUUCAUGAUAACUCCUCGAAUCGCAUGGCCUUGUGCCGGCGAUGGUUCAUUCAAAUUUCUUCCCUAUCAACUUUCGAUGUUUGGGUAUUGGCCAAACAUGGUUGCAACGGGUAACGGAGGGUUAGGGCUCGACCCCGGAGAAGGAGCCUGAGAAACGGCUACUACAUCCAAGGAAGGCAGCAGGCGCGCAAAUUACCCAAUCCCGACACGGGGAGGUAGUGACAAUAAAUACUGAUACAGGGCUCUUUUGGGUCUUGUAAUUGGAAUGAGUACAAUUUAAAUCCCUUAACGAGGAACAAUUGGAGGGCAAGUCUGGUGCCAGCAGCCGCGGUAAUUCCAGCUCCAAUAGCGUAUAUUAAAGUUGUUGUGGUUAAAAAGCUCGUAGUUGAACCUUGGGCCUGGCUGGCCGGUCCGCCUCACCGCGUGUACUGGUCCGGCCGGGCCUUUCCCUCUGUGGAACCCCAUGCCCUUCACUGGGUGUGGCGGGGAACCAGGACUUUUAC